rnacentral:tRNA from 1 species
GCCCAGGUGGUGUAAUCGGUAGCCACGCAAGACUUAAAAUUUUGUGAUCGUAAGGUCGUGCGGGUUCAAGUCCCGCCCUGGGCA